rnacentral:tRNA from 1 species
GCCUGGGUGGCUCAGAUGGUUAAGCAUCUGACUUCAGCUCAGGUCAUGAUCUUGUGGUGUGGAUUCAAGCCCCACAUUGGGCU